rnacentral:rRNA from 1 species
UUCCUACGGGGCGCAGCAGUGGGGAAUAUUGCACAAUGGGGGAAACCCUGAUGCAGCAACGCCGCGUGAGUGAUGACGGCCUUCGGGUUGUAAAGCUCUGUCUUCAGGGACGAUAAUGACGGUACCUGAGGAGGAAGCCACGGCUAACUACGGGCCAGCAGCCGCGGUAAUACGUAGGUGGCGAGCGUUGUCCGGAUUUACUGGGCGUAAAGGGAGCGUAGGCGGGAUUUUAAGUGAGAUGUGAAAUACUCGGGCUCAACUUGGGUGCUGCAUUUCAAACUGGUAGUCUAGAGUGCAGGAGAGGG